UGCGUAGGCGGACUAAUAAGUCAGUGGUGAAAUCUUUCGGCUCAACCGGGAAACUGCCAUUGAUACUGUUAGUCUUGAGUUCGGUUGAGGUAGGCGGAAUGUGUAAUGUAGCGGUGAAAUGCUUAGAUAUUACACAGAACACCAAUUGCGUAGGCAGCUUACUAGACCGACACUGACGCUGAGGCACGAAAGCGUGGGGAGCGAACAGGAUUAGAUACCCUGUAGUCC
rnacentral:rRNA from 1 species